rnacentral:rRNA from 1 species
UACGUAGGUGACAAGCGUUGUCCGGAUUUACUGGGCGUAAAGAGCGCGCAGGCGGUCGUUCAAGUCGAGUGUGAAAGCCCCCGGCUCAACUGGGGAGGGUCACUCGAUACUGAUCGACUCGAAGGCAGGAGAGGGUAGUGGAAUUCCCGGUGUAGUGGUGAAAUGCGUAGAUAUCGGGAGGAACACCAGUGGCGAAGGCGGCUACCUGGCCCACUCUUGACGCUGAGGCGCGAAAGCUAGGGGAGCAAACGGG